AGAGUUUGAUCAUGGCUCAGAGCGAACGCUGGCGGCAGGCCUAACACAUGCAAGUCGAGCGCCCCGCAAGGGGAGCGGCAGACGGGAGAGUAACACGUGGGAACGUACCCUUCAGUUCGGAACAACCCAGGGAAACUUGGGCUAAUACCGAAUACGUCCGUAAGGAGAAAGAUUUAUCGCUGAAGGAUCGGCCCGCGUCUGAUUAGCUAGUUGGUGAGGUAACGGCUCACCAAGGCGACGAUCAGUAGCUGGUCUGAGAGGAUGAUCAGCCUCACUGGGACUGAGACACGGCCCAGACUCCUACGGGAGGCAGCAGUGGGGAAUAUUGGACAAUGGGCGCAAGCCUGAUCCAGCCAUGCCGCGUGGAUGAUGAAGGCCCUAGGGUUGUAAAGUCCUUUCGGCGGGGAAGAUAAUGACGGUACCCGCAGAAGAAGCCCCGGCUAACUUCGUGCCAGCAGCCGCGGUAAUACGAAGGGGGCUAGCGUUGCUCGGAAUCACUGGGCGUAAAGCGCACGUAGGCGGCUUUUUAAGUCAGGGGUGAAAUCCUGGAGCUCAACUCCAGAACUGCCCUUGAUACUGAGAAGCUUGAGUCCGGGAGAGGUGAGUGGAACUGCGAGUGUAGAGGUGAAAUUCGUAGAUAUUCGCAAGAACACCAGUGGCGAAGGCGGCUCACUGGCCCGGUACUGACGCUGAGGUGCGAAAGCGUGGGGAGCAAACAGGAUUAGAUACCCCCGUAGUCC
rnacentral:rRNA from 1 species